UUAUUGGCCCACAUCCACAUAAUGGGCCACGCUGGGGAGACAGCAAGGAAAACCACAGCUUCACAUACGCCAGUCAUGGUUCUCGCAGAUCAGUGUAUGUGUAAGCACGCAGGACUAUAUUUAUGCACCGAAAUGGACAGACAUGUUUUCUACCUUUCCAAUUCCAAAAUCCUAUUCCAUUAAGUUAUGCUUAAAGUUUGUAUUGCAUUGUAGAAAAAUAUACAAAAAAACAUGCACUGAUUUUGGCACUCAAAUUCCUAUUUUUGGAAAAUAAAAUUACCUUUAUUAGUUCACAACGCAUACUGCAGAAUGCAUAGCCAUACUCAAAGUACACAGUAUGUGUAAAUGUACAAUAAAUGCCACACUAUUUCUAACAGGACCCAAAGCACCAAUCCAGAGAACAGUCCAGCACAGAACAGUACUAUCGAUGACGGCUAAAGUGCUCUAUCAAAGCCUCUGUUAACCACGAGACUCCAUGUUGAGCUCUUCUAGUGGCCAUUGUGUCAAACUCAAACUCAGAGAGCCACUCCACCUCUGCACUCUAUCAUGGCAGUAACUUUUCCCCCUUUUGCCUCACAUAUAUUAUGCAGGACCCAACAGUCAGCUAUAACUAUGGGGAUAUUGUUCUUACUGAAAUCCAAUCUAAUGAAUAACCACUGCCAAUGCCCCUUCAAUCUACCAAAAGAACUUCUGGGAGACACUAGGGAGAUGAUGGCUGCAUAGUUUACAGCUCUCUUCCCAACCUUCUAAAAUUCAUCAGCAGCUGAAUCACUUUUUUGCCAUCUAAUUUUCAUCAGAUAUUAUUCUACAACUAUUUUCUUUUAGUUUAAUACCAUUACAGAUGCUUCUCAAUCUCCAGACUUUCUACAAAAUCCUAAAAAGCAGAAGCUAUUGGACAGCCGUCUUGCAGCCAAGACAGCUGACUAGGGAAGGCUGCCCCUCUGAGACUAGAUGAAAUUAUGGACUGGCUAAAAUAAAUCUCAAAUGAACAGACUAUCUUGAGAAAAAUAACUGAAGAUAUAACAAAGCAAAAGUAUUACCAGUACACAUCAAGCUAAUUUGCAAGGCUUGGCAUCAAGACUAGAUGAAGCUGAGAACAGAAUCUCCUUACAGUGCGUACUAUGAAUAUAAACAGGAAAGGACUAUUCAACCCGAAAAAAAAAUGGUUAAUGAUCUUGAGGGAAAAUCAAGGAAAACAGUCUGAGAAUUGCUGGUCUUCCAGAGGGAUUGGAAAAAGGAAGGUCUGUGGAAUUUUUAUGUACCAUGCUGCUAACGCUUUUGUUUCUGCACCCAGAUCAGAACUUAGACACUGAAAGAGUCCAUCGCUUGCUUGCACCAAAUCUCCUCAACAUAAUUAUAAUAUUUUAAAAAUGUAAUACUAAGGAACUUGUAAAAAGCCCAUGAACUUAAAAAUCUAACAUGGAAAGGACACAGGCUGAUGAUUUUCCUGGUUAUACCAAGGAUGUGGUGGAAAAGAGGGCUAAAUUGAACAGAUCAAGAGCGUUAGCGUUUCAUUUUCUUCCCUGCUACUUUCAAAAGUUAAAAAGGAAGGCAAGAUGCUUAGUUUUAUGUCAGCAAAAGAUGAUGAAAGGUAUCUGAUCUCACUACAGCAAAAAACUCCACAGAAGAUACUGACGUAAUGAAUUGGAAUAACUUUACCAGAUCAGUCACUACAGUGCUGAAAUUCAGUUCUCAGUCUAGCAAUAAUAAUGUUCCAUGUAUAUAAGUAGCCUGGAAGAGAGCACAGAGUUUUGUGAGAGACAGACAGCACUGUGCUGUGUCACUUGUCAGAGGCAACAUCACUGCAUCCCACCCUGUGUCAAAAAUAGCAUUAUGCUCCCCGUGUCCUGACCUCACUAUACCACAUGCUGGAGGCAGCAUCAACUACUUGUGCACACCAUGCAGGAUUAAAUCCUUCACUCUAACGGAAGUGGCACCUUGUUGGCGAGUUGGACCUUUUUUUUUAAAAAGGUUUUUUUUUGAAUGACUGAGGAGAAAGAGCCUUACAACACAGUUCACGUACCUAUCAUUCAGGCUAAGGCCUGAGUGAACAGUUCUCUUUGGGAGAGACCAUCCAGUCCAGCCAAUGUCCUCUUAAAGCAACUUGCAGGCCAUUUAAAAGGAGGAUGGGAAAGACUAAUGGUGUCUGCAGCAUGACCUUCUGGCCAGCCAGAGGUAUAGGAUUUCUUAUGGGGGGGGGGUCGUCGGGUAAGUUUUACUUAAUUAAUGUUUGUGCAAUCUGUAAGGCAGUUAUGCUCACCAGUUUUCAUAUGGAAGUUUUAAAUUGCUUAGUAAAAUGGUAUUGAAAGGAAA